GUAAGCUUCAUGGGCAAAGAAGGAUGGAUUAUUGGCAAGCCUGCAAUUUUGUUGCACACUUCUGAUGCUGGAGACAGCUGGGAAAGAAUACCCUUGAGUGCCCAGCUUCCUGGGAACAUGGUAAGUUUGCAUAUACAUCCGUGUUGUCUGCGCUUUAACAAGGAU
rnacentral:pre_miRNA from 1 species